GACGAACGCUGGCGGCGUGCUUAACACAUGCAAGUCGAACGGAAAGGCCCUGCUUGCAUGGUACUCGAGUGGCGAACGGGUGAGUAACACGUGGGUGAUCUGCCCUGCACUUCGGGAUAAGCCUGGGAAACUGGGUCUAAUACCGGAUAUGACCUUCCAUGUAGUGUGGGGGGUGGGAAGAUUUAUCGGUGUGGGAUGAGCCCGCGGCCUAUCAGCUUGUUGGUGGGGUAAUGGCCUACCAAGGCGUCGACGGGUAGCCGGCCUGAGAGGGUGGACGGCCACAUUGGGACUGAGAUACGGCCCAGACUGCUACGGGAGGCAGCAGUGGGGAAUAUUGUACAAUGGGAGGAAGCCUUAUGCAGCGACGCCGCGUGGGGGAUGACGGCCUUCGGGGUGUAAACCUCUUUCGACAGGGACGAAGCUUCGGUGACGGUACCUGUAUAAGAAGCACCGGCUAACUACGUG
rnacentral:rRNA from 1 species